UAAUACGGGGGGAGCAAGCGUUGUCCGGAAUUACUGGGCGUAAAGAGCGCGUAGGCGGAUCUGUAAGUCAGGAGUGAAAUUUGUCGGCUCAACCGGCAAACUGCUUUUGAUACUGCAGGUCUCGAGUAAGACAGAGGAAAGUGGAAUUCCUGGUGUAGCGGUGAAAUGUGUAGAUAUCAGGAAGAACACCAGUAGCGAAGGCGGCUUUCUGGGUCUUUACUGACGCUGAGGCGCGAAAGCGUGGGUAGCAAACAGGAUUAGAUACCCUGGUAGUCCACGCCCUAAACGAUGAACACUAGGUGUUGAAGGAUCGACCCCUUCGGUGCCGAAGCUAACGCAUUAAGUGUUCCGCCUGGGGAGUACGAUCGCAAGGUUG
rnacentral:rRNA from 1 species